UGGGGAAUAUUGGACAAUGGGGGGAACCCUGAUCCAGCCAUGCCGCGUGUGUGAAGAAGGCCUUAUGGUUGUAAAGCACUUUAAGCGAGGAGGAGGGUACUGGUAUUAAUACUACCAGCUACUGGACGUUACUCGCAGAAUAAGCACCGGCUAACUCUGUGCCAGCAGCCGCGGUAAUACAGAGGGUGCGAGCGUUAAUCGGAUUUACUGGGCGUAAAGCGUGCGUAGGCGGCUAAUUGAGUCGGAUGUGAAAUCCCCGAGCUUAACUUGGGAAUUGCAUUCGAUACUGGUUAGCUAGAGUGUGGGAGAGGAUGGUAGAAUUCCAGGUGUGGCGGUGAAAUGCGUAGAGAUCUGGAGGAAUACCGAUGGCGAAGGCAGCCAUCUGGCCUAACACUGACGCUGAGGUACGAAAGCAUGGGGAGCAAACAGG
rnacentral:rRNA from 1 species